AAUUUUUUUUAUUAUUAUUAAGUUAUCUAUUCUUUUUUUGUUUUCUUCACUUUAUUUUAAUAUAGUUUAAAGUUUGUGCAUAGUUAAAAAUCUAAAAAUUGAGAAAUGAACAACAAAGAAUGACGUUUUAUUACUUUGACGUCUUAAGUGUGAACAUGUGUGCGUGAUUCUGGUUUUGAUUCUGCCUCAAAAUUCAGAAUCGAUUUUCUCUUCUUUUCAGAAUUAGAACUGUCAUUGAGUGCCAAACGAACAGUUUCAGAAUCGUUCGGAAGAAUUCCGGACAGUCCCGGACGACCAAACGAAAACGCUAUAAGUCUCCAGCAUGUUACCAGUUUAUGGUGAGUAUCGGAUUUAAAAUGCCAUCGGCUAGCACUAAUUACCGAUGGCAUUCGGAUAUUCAUCUAGCCAGAGAGUUAAAGGAUUUGUAAAGCCGGCUAUGGAUAGAAAAUGUGUACUGCUCUUUGACGAAAUGUCUAUAAAUAGAGAGUAAAGCUAGUCAAGCGCAUUCAAUUUUAUCAAAACCAAAUAAUUUAAUCACCAGUUGAACGGACAGCGCGCACAUAAAAAACUUUGCAAGCAAUCAACGAAAUAAACCAACAUUUAUACACAAAUUCUAAUUUCUAUCUCUCUCUUAAAUUGAAAGUAAAACAAUAUAAUUUACUGUGUUUAUAAAAGAAUAGAAUAGAUACUAGUCCGGUCAAUUUAGACAUCCGAGUGUACAUUAAUUCGCAGCAAGCUGAAAUUUGGUAGGAUUGUUGAAAACACCAUCAUAAUUUAAAUCUAAAAAGUCCUCAUCGAUCCGAGAUCUGGAAAAAAAUUUACUUGGGGUCAAAAACUGGUUUUUCACGAUUUUCACCAAAAUGAAAAUUAUUAACCAAAUUUCUACCAAAACGGCAUCGGUGCUUAGUAUUAUGGAUUUACAGACUAUGGAGAGUUUGGACAGGAAGAGACAAUUGCUUAAAUUAGGCCGUGUGUGAAUUGCGUUAAAUAGUUAACCCCGUGUAAAACUUUUCGCGCUAUUGAGGUCCCAGAGCCCAUUAAAUUUUUAACAAAGGCAUUCGACAUUGUAAACGGGGAAGAUGAAAAUUCCGAGCAUAUUUGGGCCCGAUAUAUUGCAUCAAUCAUGUCCAAUUAUCCUAAAGCUGAUGCAGUGCGUUGAUUUAAAUUGAUAGUAAACCGAUUGGUGGAGCAGCUCGAGAUGGGAGACUUUGAUGCACCCUUAUUGCAGGGUCAAAACCAUGUUAUUUUUCAAGAUCCUCUCGCUGUAUGCAAUGACGAAAUGCCGGAAAAUUGCAGAAUAUCAUAGUGAGCUAUUGCCUGAUCACAACUUGUCUCCUGAUCAAGAUACUGAAACCAUUGAUUUGUCAGUAUAAAAUAAACGAGCUGUUUUUGCAAAUAAAAAUAAUACCUACUUAUCUUUAAAUAGUCCUUUUUCAAUAUAUUUAUAAAUUGCUUUACAGGUUUCAUGAAUGAACGAUAUUCGAAAUCGUAGUAUCUGCUAUUCUUAAAAUGAAUCGGAGACUAACUACUAAAACUUUCGUCAGUGGCCAAAUAACGUAGAGUGACUGCAAGGCGCUGACCUGGUGAAAUGGCCUUUCGGAAUCUGGUAUCUUGUUAACUUAUUAACGGUGACACAAGUUUGAGAAGCAGAUUAAAAUCGUCAAAACUCAUUCGCGUAAAGUUGUUAAAAAAUUACUUUGAAUUUAAUCUCACGGGCGCGGUAAGAUCAAUCGAUUUUAAUUUUUCAUAUAUUUCCUUAAAAAAACAAUUUUCUUCUCGACUUAAAAAAAAAAUUCAUCCUCCCAGAAUAGUCUUUUUUGAGUUUUUUUCCUUGAAGUUCAUUUUCUAUUUUUAUUAAUGCAGUGGCAAACUUUUUUUUUCUUUGAAAAGAAGUCAUACUUCAGAAAACAGUUGCGUGAAGGCAAAAAAUGUGCACAAAACUCAGGAAAUAAUUAUGUCAUGAAUAUUUGUAUUGCUAUCGACAUCAAGUUGUUGAACGCGUUGCCCAACAAACAAUCCUUGGUUAUGUGUACGAGGGUAUCAACUCGUCUAUCAACUCG